rnacentral:rRNA from 1 species
GACGAACGCUGGCGGCGUGCUUAACACAUGCAAGUCGAACGGAAAGGCCCCUUUGGGGGUCCUCGAGUGGCGAACGGGUGCGUAACACGUGAGUAACCUGCCCUUGACUUCGGGAUAACUUCAGUAAACUGGGGCUAAUACCGGAUCGGAAUCCUUUCUGCAUGGUGGGGGUUGGAAAGCUUCGGCGGUUUUGGAUGGACUCGCGGCUUAUCAGCUUGUUGGUGGGGUAGUGGCUUACCAAGGCUUUGACGGGUAGCCGGCCUGAGAGGGCGACCGGCCACAUUGGGACUGAGAUACGGCCCAGACUCCUACGGGAGGCAGCAGGGGGGAAUAUUGCACAAUGGGCGGAAGCCUGAUGCAGCAACGCCGCGUGCGGGAGGACGGCCUUCGGGUUGGAAACCGAAUGCAGCAGGGGCGAAGCUUGUGGUGACGGUACCUGCAGAAGAAGCACCGGCUAACUACGUG